rnacentral:rRNA from 1 species
GACAGAGGUGCCAAGCGUUAGGCGGAAUCACUGGGCUUAAAGCGUGUGUAGGCGGAAUUGUAAGUACCUUGUGAAAUCCCACGGCUCAACCGUGGAACUGCUCGGUAUACUGCUUUUCUUGAGCCACUUAGGGGCUGUCGGAACAAACGGUGGAGCGGUGAAAUGCGUAGAUAUCUGGAGGAACACCGGUGGCGAAGGCGGCAUCCUGGACCAACACUGACGCUGAGGAGCGAAAGCCAGGGGAGCAAACGGG